rnacentral:lncRNA from 1 species
CUGUUCUACAGCUAUGGCCGGGCCAGCUGCAGCUUUCCGCCGCUUGGGCGCCUUGUCCGGAGCUGCGGCCUUAGGCUUCGCUUCCUACGGGGCGCACGGCGCCCAAUUCCCAGAUGCCUACGGGAAGGAGCUGUUUGACAAGGCCAACAAACACCACUUCUUACACAGCCUGGCCCUGUUAGGGGUGCCCCAUUGCAGAAAGCCACUCUGGGCGGCCUGAGCACGCUCACUGACACCGUUUGGCGGCCUGUCACCCGCGUGGCUGGGGCACCUGCAGAAACUGCUGUCGCUGCGAGGUGCCCGUGUGGGUCACCGCUGUGCCAGGGAGAGAAGACGGCGAGGUCGCCCCUGGGAGGCAGAAGGCGAGCCAGGAGCCAGUCCUGGAAGCCAAUGAGCGCUCCUACUCUCUGGGCAUCUGCAGUCCGAGCGGAAGGGGCGGGAACGUCGGCGACGCCGAGGAGCAAAGCCCACGAUCGGCUUCCCGGGGCAGCGGACGGCUGCCUUCCUCCCGGCGCAAACGCACCGCCCAGGAGGGGGCGGGCUCGGCGGGUCGGGGGGCGGGGCCGGGGUCCGAGCUCGGGCCCGCCUCCGCCUCCGCCAGCUCCUGUGAGCUGCCGAGUGCUAGGCACCCGGGCUCUUCUGGGGGCUCCAGGUGAGCGGGGGCACAGAGGGGUCAGGGAGACCGCCCUUGGGGUGGGGCUGUCGGUCUGACCGCGGGUCCAUCUGUCCUGCCGUCGGCCCACAGCCUCCUCCGCAGGAUGGGAGAACAAAGGGAGGGGGCGGUUCUGGGGCCCCCGAGGGAAUCCAGGGUCCCAGGUACCCGGUCCCGCCCACUGACACUUGGGUUUCUCCCCGAGUCAGAGGCGCCGCCCAAGAGACCCUGGGCCGGCGCCGGGCGCAGCUGCCUCUCCGUCUUUGUGUCUGUCUCUGUGUCUGUCUGGCUAUCUCCGAGUUUGCCUCCGCUUCCAGAACUAAGCCACCCAGACACCAUCAUCUCGAAAACCCCAGCCCUUCUCCCAUGGCAGGCUACUUGCCCCCCAAAGGCUACGCCCCUUCGCCCCCACCUCCCUACCCUGUCACCCCUGGGUACCCGGAGCCGGCGCUACAUCCUGGGCCCGGGCAGGCGCCAGUGCCCGCCCAGGUACCUGCCCCAGCUCCCGGCUUCGCCCUCUUCCCCUCGCCUGGCCCCGUGGCCUUGGGGUCUGCUGCCCCCUUCUUGCCACUGCCAGGGGUGCCUUCUGGCCUCGAAUUCCUGGUGCAGAUUGAUCAGAUUUUGAUUCACCAGAAGGCUGAGCGAGUGGAAACGUUCCUAGGCUGGGAGACCUGUAAUCGGUAUGAACUGCGCUCUGGGGCCGGGCAGCCCCUGGGUCAGGCGGCCGAGGAGAGCAACUGCUGCGCCCGUCUGUGCUGUGGCGCCCGCCGGCCGCUGCGUGUCCGCCUGGCCGACCCCGGGGACCGUGAGGUGCUGCGUUUGCUCCGCCCGCUGCACUGUGGCUGCAGCUGCUGCCCCUGUGGCCUCCAGGAGAUGGAAGUACAGGCUCCACCAGGCACCACCAUUGGCCACGUGCUACAGACCUGGCAUCCCUUCCUCCCCAAGUUCUCCAUCCAGGAUGCCGAUCGCCAGACAGUCUUGCGAGUGGUGGGGCCCUGCUGGACCUGUGGCUGUGGCACAGACACCAACUUUGAGGUGAAGACUCGGGAUGAAUCCCGCAGUGUGGGCCGCAUCAGCAAGCAGUGGGGGGGCCUGGUCCGAGAAGCCCUCACAGAUGCAGAUGACUUUGGCCUACAGUUCCCGCUGGACCUGGAUGUGAGGGUGAAGGCUGUGCUGCUGGGAGCCACAUUCCUCAUUGACUACAUGUUCUUUGAGAAGCGAGGAGGCGCUGGGCCCUCUGCCGUCACCAGUUAGAGGCCACCAUGGUGUGAGGAGACCAUCACCUCGACCAGAACUCCAGAUGGUCACCUGCCCUGGCCCCUCCUCUGGGCAGCCCCUUUCCUCCAUGUACACUGCAGGGGACAGAAGGGGGGCCCCAUCCCUACCCUACUCCCUGGCCGCCUGCCCCUGUGGUUCCCAAGGAGGGGUAUGUAUGAGAGCCGCUCUCCUGCUACCUCCCACCACUGUCCCAGCAGUCCCUCGGCACACAGGCAUAUCAGCUUUCACACUUUCCCCAUGCACUCUCUCCCACCCCCUUCCAGGGCCUCUGCUCCAAAGGAGGCCUCUGGAACCCAGGACUCUGGGGUUUUACAAGAGGGCUGGGGUGUGGAAGGGCAAGCUGCACCAAAGACGGUGGAUAUAGCCACCGCCCCCCCGCCGCUGCCUAGCAUCUGCUUGGCCAAUUAGUUCAGCCUCAGACCAUGGCACUUUGAGGGGGUCUCUACCUCCCCAUCAACAGCUGCAGGGGGACCCCAGUGCCAACUUCCUCUCCCACUAGGGCCCUGCCUUCAGCUGGUGCUUGCUGCGAUUCCUGUGCCUUAUGUAACUGCCCUUCCUUCCCUUGCCCUAGGAAAAAGGCUGCAUCUUUAUAUGUUACAUUCAUAUAAACUUUGUAACUUUUUGGAC